rnacentral:lncRNA from 1 species
GGCACUUACACAGCACACAACAUACAGCACACAUACACAGCACACACACACAGCACACACACAGUGCACGCACACAAACACACAGCAUGCACAGCACACACACAGCAUACAGGACACACAGUACACAUAGCACACAUACAUAGCACACACAAAACAUACAGCACACACACACAGCACACACACAACAUACAGCACACACACACAGCACAUACACAGCAUACACACACAACACACACACACAGCACACACACACAGCACACAACAUACAGCACCACACACAGCACAGACACACACAGCAUACACAGCACACACACAGCACACAACAUACAGCACACAUACACAGCACACAUGCACAGCACACACACAGAGCAUACACACAGCAUACAGCACACAAAGCACACAUAGCACACACAUACCACAGCACACACACACACACCACAGCACAUAGCACAGUACACACAACACACAGCAUAGAGCAUACAGUGAGAACUCGGAUCAGGAAAUAUAGCUAACGGUUGACCAAUGUGACCUCAUGAACCUGAAAGGCUUCUGUCCACAAAGGAAACAGACAGUUCGGAAGAGGCAGCCUGCAGGACAGAAAUGCUUUGUCUGGGAAGA